rnacentral:sRNA from 1 species
CAUACCCUCAUUACCUUCACCCCUUCUUGCCAAUUUCUAUUAAGCCAAUCCUCUUAACAAAUUCUUCGAAGGCAGGCCUUGCCAGUGGCUUGGUGAGGCCAUCAGCUAUAUUGGCUGUAGAACCAACAUGUUCCAUCAUGAUUUCAUCUUUUUCAAUCAAAUCAUGAAGAAUAUGAUAUCUGAUCUCAAUGUGGUGUGAUCUUCUUGUCAAGAAUUCUUCUUUUGCCAGAUCUAUUGUGCUCUUGUUGUCAAUUCACAGAUAUGAGCAUAUCUUUGCUUUUCCCUCUAUCAAUUCAGCAUCAUAUAACAUGUCAUUCAGUC